CCCCCCCCCCCCGCACCCUCCUUUAAGGGCAGGCAGCCGAAGGGGAAGCAUUUCUACCUGGAAGCUGCUUCCUUUGUUGUGUUGGGUGAGCCCUGAUUCUUGGAAAAGGGCUAAGUUGGUGUAUGAGAACUGCUGAGUCACGGCCUGAACCACUGAUUGAGCACCUGGAGGAAAGACCCAGUCAGCCUGGGGAGCACAGGUGAAGGCAAUUCAUCUGUGUGAUGGGGAAGGGGUGGGGCCUGUCUUCACCCCUCUUCAGCCUCAUUUAAGGGCUGAUUGCCACUGAGGAAGGAUCUCUUUCUAGAGAUAGCUCCUUGGUGGAAGGUUUUCCCUGUGAACCCAGAAUCUUCUGAUACAGCUGUGGGACCUGACAGCUUGAGGAAUUGAGGCCCCUGGUCCGCUGCAUACUGGGACUGGCACAAAGAAGCUCUGUGCCUAGAACAUCCUGGGGAUUGUACGAACAGGUGCACUUGAGCCCCAGGUGCCUUGCCAUGCUGCUGCCGGUGGCAGCAGAGAACUGCAGUGCUUCUAGGCAGUGCAAGAACUGCACAGAGCCAUUUGUGGCUUUUCAUGAAGUCAGCAAGAAAUGAAAAGCUGGAUUUCUUGGAAUGCCCAGGAACCUAACUUUGCUGACUGGUAACUCGUUACCUGUGCGGGAAAGGGCAAUGUACAUCCACCAAUGUCUACUCAGUACAAUGAGUACUAGGCACAACCUAGUACUCCCAGUGCUUGUUACUGUGCUUUAGGGUAUCCUACAGGCUGCCUUUCCUUCUCCUACAUUCUCCUUGUCUCUGGCCUUUCCCUGCAGUGUUCUCCUUGCCUUUGCCUUGGCUUUCUCUGGCUAUUAUUGUUGCCCUCGCCUGGGGCUGCCUUGCGGCAUUCUCCUUGGCUUUGGCCUUGCCCUUGCCUGGGCCUUCUGUGUGGCAUUAUUCCAGCCAUUGCCUUAGUUUCGGUUUUCCCUUGGGCAUUCUAAUUGCCUUUCUUUCUGCUUUUUCCUUCCCUCGCUGUUCUCCUUGCCUUUGCCUUGCUGUUCCCUUGGGUUUUCUGCUUGACUUUGCUUCACUGGGAUUGAGAGGCAGCAUUAAUGUUGAUCUUGACCUCAACCCCAAGCUUAAUGGGAGCUCUAAAGAUAAUUACAUUAACGCACAAUGUGACUUUAAACCUAACCCUUAACCCAAUGCUGAAAAUGUCUCUAAUGCUCAAUGUAGCAAUAAAAACAAUGCCUGGAGAUUUCUAAGUAACCUUAAGCCUAAUUGUAAUGUAAAAAAAAAAAUUGUUGAACUAACUGUAACCUUAAUCCUAUAACUAGCUUAAAUUAUAACCCUAAUGCUGCUCAUCAUCAUUUUUAUAUCCUUAACGUAAAAAUCCACUAAAACUAAUCCAGAAAAAUACCGUAACAUAAAGAGUUACCUCAAUCCUAAAGAUAACCCAAGCCUCUACACUAAUAUAGCACUUAGUGUAAUUUUCCUCUUAAUUAAAUGUUUCUAUAUUUCUAAA